AUGGUUUCCUCAAAAGAGGAUGGAGAGGACUGCCAGGAUAUGCACAUAUCAGACAAGUCCUCAGUUUUUUUGAGGAACUGCGAGCUCAAGGCACUAGGACUAUUGAAGUUACUAAAUGCAGUAGCGUCCAACAUAUUCGUUGACAUCAAACACCCUGAAGUUAUGUGCAAUGUUCCACACCUCAACAAGGUUUGUUGUCUGCUUCUGGAUUUCGAGGUGAUAUCAAAGCUUCGAGGAAUAACCCCUACAAAAGAACUGGUCUAUGAACACGGCCAUAAGAAGAAGAUGAGCUGCCCUGCAAUGGCACAUUUGAACUAG
rnacentral:rRNA from 1 species